rnacentral:rRNA from 1 species
UACGUAGGGACCAAGCGUUGUUCGGAUUUACUGGGCGUAAAGGGCGCGUAGGCGGCGCGGUAAGUCACUUGUGAAAUCUCUGAGCUUAACUCAGAACGGCCAAGUGAUACUGCAGUGCUAGAGUGUGGAAGGGGCAAUCGGAAUUCUUGGUGUAGCGGUGAAAUGCGUAGAUAUCAAGAGGAACACCUGAGGUGAAAGACGGGUUGCUGGGCCAACACUUGACUGAGGCGCGAAAGCCAGGGGAGCAAACGGGGAAUUAGAAACCCCG